GACGAACGCUGGCGGCGUGCUUAACACAUGCAAGUCGAGCGGUAAGGCCCUUUCGGGGGUACACGAGCGGCGAACGGGUGAGUAACACGUGGGUGACCUGCCCUCAGCUCUGGGAUAAGCCUGGGAAACCGGGUCUAAUACCGGAUAUGACUCCAUGACGCAUGUUGUGGGGUGGAAAGCCUUGUGCGGCUGAGGAUGGGGCCCGCGGCCUAUCAGCUUGUUGGUGGGGUGAUGGCCUACCAAGGCGACGACGGGUAGCCGGCCUGAGAGGGCGACCGGCCACACUGGGACUGAGACACGGCCCAGACUCCUACGGGAGGCAGCAGUGGGGAAUCUUGCGCAAUGGGCGAAAGCCUGACGCAGCGACGCCGCGUGAGGGAUGACGGCCU
rnacentral:rRNA from 1 species